rnacentral:rRNA from 1 species
UACGGAGGGGGCGAGCGUUGUCCGGAAUCAUUGGGCGUAAAGCGCGUGUAGGCGGUCCGGUAAGUCCGCUGUGAAAGUCGAGGGCUCAACCCUCGAAUGCCGGUGGAUACUGUCGGGCUAGAGUGCGGAAGAGGCGAGUGGAAUUCCUGGUGUAGCGGUGAAAUGCGCAGAUAUCAGGAGGAACACCUAUUGCGAAGGCAGCUCGCUGGGACGUUACUGACGCUGAGACGCGAAAGCGUGGGGAGCAAACAGG